rnacentral:rRNA from 1 species
AGCACUUGCCAUGUAGACGCAGCCUGAGGAGCAACACCGCGUGAGUGAAGAAGGGUUUCGGCUCGUAAAGCUCUGUUGUUGGAGAAGAACGUGCGUGAGAGUAACUGUUCACGCAGUGACGGUAUCCAACCAGAAAGUCACGGCUAACUACGUGCCAGCAGCCGCGGUAAUACA